AGUGAGGUGGCAGAUUUAAUGCGGUAAGUUUAAGCCUUGUGUAUGAAGAUUUAUCUUUCCUUGCUU
rnacentral:tRNA from 1 species